GGAUGUCAUGCUGUGGGUUCAAGGCAAAGAUGGGGAAAGUCUGGUUUGAAGUUUCAAGACCAACACUUUAAUGAUGGAAAAAGUUAAGGGGUUAGAAAUUUGGUGUCCUGUCGCAUUUAAAAGAUCCUCGACACUCAGCAGUUAUUUAGGAUGGUUCAGGAAGAUCUCAGGCCGACCAGGCUGGCAGGGAGAACUCCAGAUGACGGGCUUCUGAGCACAGAAAAAGUCGAAAUCACAAGCAGGCUGAUGGAAUCCUCCCUCUGCAGUAGCCUGCUUGGGCUGGCUCAGUUAUCCAUGGUGGCAGGAGCCAAGGGAGAAGAGAUCCAAAGUGAAGAAGCUACUACCGGUGAGACUUAGUAGAUAGAGGCAGGCCCUGCUCUUUGGGGCCCAGCACAGAGAUGAGGUCCUUCCUUUCCUAUAGAAGAGGCAUCUGAGGCAGGCUCCGCUCCGACACAGAACUGGCGAUUCAUGCUGAACGUAAAGGCAAGCGUGCCUGUUUUCCAGGGCUGCCAUGCCAACUCCAGCAGCAGAAAGAAGUUGACAGGGGCCAGGAGGCCCACUUGUGCCAAGGGUUUGGCACCUUGGAGGGUGUAGUGGAGCGUGCAGUUCCCAAGCUGGCUGCGUGUGGAGUGGCUCGCA
rnacentral:lncRNA from 1 species